AAGGUAAUGUUCUUCCAGUUUUUUACAUUAUGGCAUACUUGGUCUGCAUCCUUGAUGAAUUUCCAUUACAAUAACAAUCUCGUUUGUUUUUCUUACUUGGCUGCUUAUUCCAGCAUAUUAUUAUUCAUGAAGAUUGGAGCAGCAUAUUAUACCCACCUUUGCGUGACCUGACCUUUGAGAUUAUCAAAUCAUCAGCAUGUGUGGAGGAUAUUUUAUAUGGAAUAUUGCGGACAACGCACCCAGAAUCUGUAUCUAUAAUUUCUUCCUAUGACAGUAAAUUUCAUGAGGUAUGGGCGUAUGGCAGCUCUUUAUUUUUUUUUAUUUCUUCAAUGCAUAAGAUACAUCCAUAUUGAUUUUUAAAUAUUUGUUAUCCAUGAUUAAGCAAGACUUUAUGCUCAUUGAAAGCCUACUUGAAACUGUUUUUGGUAUUAACUUUUUAAAUUACGUGAUUGCAGUCUGUGUAUGAAAUGAUUAAGAUCAAAGAUGAGGAUCCAGUUUGCUGUAGCUAUAACACUUCAACAAAUAAAUGCUGGCGGCAUUUCUUGAAGGGUGUUAAGUUUGAGAGCUGGAAAGAAAUGCUUGAUGUCAUGGGUGCCUCUGAAGAUGAAAGUGCUAAUAGAUUGUAUCUUUGGUUGCAAUCGUCAUAUACUCCGACAUCGCGGCAUCAAAUGACUAAUCUUAGAUUAUCCUGGAAUUCUCAUGAACCUGAUGUGGAGACAUGAAAUCCUUAUUUAGUCAUUGAUUGAAGAAGAUUGUUUCAAGGAAGCCGUGCUCUGGAAUUUCUCCAUCGACAUUAUACCUAUGUUCGUCUGCUUGUAUCUAUCUCCGUUGUUUCCUUCUUUUUGCUGUUACAUCAAAAUGAAGUUUUAGUGAUCAGUGCUAUCUUGGAACAUUUUUAUAUAUUUUGAGCAUGACUCUCCGUCUCUUUUGGAUACCUUUAUAUGUUUUGACCUUGAUGUUUAUAGUGUUUCUUUCGCCAGAUAUAUAUUCUUAAUUAUUUGAUAUAUCAAGUAUUAAUUAAUGUCCUUAACAAAAAGUAUUAAUUAAUGUAUUCUCCUAAAAAAAAGUUAUUAAUGUAUUAUAUUGAGAAAUCUGUCAUGCCAUUACUGGGCACUGGCGGGUGGCCGGCUACAGCUCCUAUCCCUUUAAAUUAUUAAAUUAUAAUUUAUAACUAUAAAAUGAAAAUUAGUGAAUUGAUAUUUGUAGUUGUUAUUCCAUAUAUGAAAACUCACUGGGCUUUAUUAAAGCAAAAGUGAUAUCAUUCAAAACUACUCGAAUUAGAUAUUGCUACCAAUUUGGUUCCAGUAUAUUAAGCUCAGGGUGGGUCUCCCACUGUGGCGUCUUCCGCUGUGGGCGACUGAAAAAUAAUUUUCGAUUAAUAUGUCUUUACCUAUGUAAUUUGGACGAGUUCCGGUUUACCCCUAUAAAAAAAAGUUUAGAUUACAACCCUGUAAAAUAAGAUUCUUUGAUUUUAGCCCCUGACCCAUGUAACUGUGCAGAAUUGCUGACGUGGCGAACUGGGUGGCAUGCUGACUAUGCAUAUCUGAUUAUGUGUCGUGCUGACUGUAUAAUUAAUUUUUUUUUAAAAUUUUAAAAUUUGAAAAGGUAAAAAAAAAAUUCAGGAUUUUUUUUUUCGAAAAAUAUUUUCCAAAAUUUUUUAAUAUAUAUUGUUCGAAUUCCAAAAUUUAUAAUUUACGAAAAUAUAUAUUUCAAAAUAUUUUAAUUUUCCAUAAAUUUUUAAAAUUAAUUUCGAAAAUUUUGAAAUACAUAUUUUAAAAUUUUUAUUUCGCAAAAAAAAUUCAAAUUAUUUUCGAAAAUUUGGAAAUAUAUAUUUUUCGAAAAAGAAGUUUUUUAAAUUUUCUCAAAAAAAAAAAAAAUCUGGAAAAUAUUUUUAUUUUUUAAAAUCUAGAUACAAAUUUAGGAAAAUUAAGAUUUUAUUCCAAAAUUAUUUUUACUAUGUGUUACAGAUUUGAGAAUAUUUUUUAGGCUAAAAUAUGCAUUUUAUCCCUGCAAAUAUAGGCCAUUUGAAAUUUCAUCCCUGAACUUACUAAUCCUCCCAAACCUUCCCUGCAAAUAUUAAUCAUUUGAGUUUUGGUCCUAAACACAUUUAAUUACCGACGUGGCACAUGAUUAGUGAGGUGGUGAUGACCUGGCAGAAUCUAAUUGGGAAAGGACAUGUAUGAGUCAGCAAGUGACACAUGAAAUGACCACUUUGCCCUUAAUGAAACUAGACGCAGGCAAAAUGACUAUUAUACUCCUUCCUUCUUCCUUUUCUUCCAUUACCACCACCCACAUCCAUCACCACCAAAUCUGAACCACCAACUUGCGACACAGUGUUCGGCGCCACCGUCGAACUCGAAUCCAUCGCUAAAACUCUAAACCAUGGAAUCUCCUGUUCAUAAUUUCUCAUUAUUUCAAUCUCCAACAAUUUAUUCAAGAAUCUCUUGUUGAUUCAAAAUCGACAACCCAGAAAAACAACAAGGAAAUAACAAACCAGAUAAAAAAAACACGAUUGAAGAUUUGAUUCGUUUAGCUCACAACCUUUGCGACGAGAAAGUCGUCGUUGUUAAACUUUUCCACCGCCGCAGAGCAAAACAAAGGGGAACCAUGGUGUAGAUUCAUCACCAUGUCAUUCUCCUCAUCGCUUCUCUUAUGCUCUACCAACAUAGCUAAGAUGCAAAUUUUCGUAUUUAAACUGAAAUAUGGGUUUGACGAAAUCGGAGAUGGGUUUUGAGUAUUCUGAAAUCGAAUGUGAAUUUUUCUCAGGUCUGCAACUUCAUGGAUAAGCCAUGGAGAUUUCAGAGUUAUAAAACCCUCAAUUGGAGAAGAAGAUAGGUCGAAGAAGAUAUGGGUUGUGGUUCUAAUGAGAAGAAGAGAGAUAUGGUAUCUGGGUUUCUGACUGUUAAAAAAUCCCUCCGUUCCUCAAUUCGUUCCAUUCCUUUCCCAUCCGCUUCCUGCAUAAUCCCAACAGGGUUAAAAAAACCUGUUUCUGAAGAGAGAAGACGGCAGGGAUGGGGAAGAUAGAAGACAGGGUUAAAAACGUAAUUUCUCACAUGUUUUGGUUCAAUAUGGGCAAAGUGAUAAUUUCCUAUGGAAAAAUCCAAGUUGCAAGGUCAUCUCCUAGUCAUGAUGUGACACGUCAUCACCACCUCGCUAAUCAUGUGCCACGUCGGUAAUUAAAUGUGUUUAGGACCAAAACUCAAGUGAUUAAUAUUUGCAGGGAAGGUUUGGGAGGAUUAGUAAGUUCAGGGAUAAAAUUUCAAAUGGCCUAUAUUUGCAGGGACAAAAUGCAUAUUUUAGCCUAUUUUUUAAUAUUUAAAAAUUGAGGAUAAAAAAAAUCUGAUUUUUUUUAAAUAUUUAAAUUUAUUCUUAUCUAUUUGUUAUGUGUUAUUUAUUUUGAAAAUUGAAGACAUUAUUAAAAAUAAACAAUCAGUCCAAAAGAUCUGAAAGGAGUUGUUUUCAUAUAUAUUUCCCAAAAUUUAUAUGUAAUUUUUUUUUUUUUUUUGCUAAACUUACUGUAUUUUUAAACUUUUGAAAAAAAAAUUAAAAAAAUUCGAAAAAAAUUAAUAUAAGCUAAUUUUUGAAUGUUUUGGUAAUUUUUAUUUUUUUUUUUGAAAAAAAUCCAAAUUUUUUCGUGUUUUUAAAAAAAUUUGAUUUUUUUUCUUAUUUUAAAAUUUUUGAAAAUUAAUUUUCAGGUUUUAAAAAAAAAAAUUAUAAUAAUUACACAGUGGCGUGCCACGUUAGUGUCUAUUACACAUGUAUCAGGUUUUAAAAAAAGGCAUCUACGGUCUUCUCUUUACAUGCCCAAACCAUCUAAGCCUAUUUUCUACCAACUUUUCUACUAUAGGUGCUACCCCCACUUUCAGGUUUUAAAAAAAAUUAAAAUUAAAAUAAUUACAUAGUGGCGUGCCACGUCAGCGUCUGGAUGGAGACAAAGGUGUUUUGUGGAGAAUCUUCAUAUUAUAGGGAUGUUUUGUGGAGAAUCUUCAUAUUAUAAGGUUGUAAUCUAAACUUUUUUUUUUUUACAGGGGUAAAGACAUAUUAACCGAAUAAUUUUUAAUGGUUGAAUGUUAAAGUUCUAUAAUUCUUAUGGUACACCAACAACACCAAAUACUUUUUUCAUCUAAAAUUAAAACACUGAAUAUUUUUUUUAUUCCAGUCGCACUUUUCUUAAUUCUCUCUCUUCUAGAUUUGGAACAACUUUUUAAUACCAAAUAACUCAAAUUCGCAAGCACCAUGGUUUUCAAACAAGGCUUCUCAAAAAGUAAAACCGAUGAUAUAGUAUAGAUGGGUGUUUGAUGAACUUGCAGCCUUUUCACUCAUCCACUGUGGACGAUAUGUUUCACUCGUCCAUCCUAGAAGGCACCUUAACAUCAUUCUACAUUACAAAUAAUAGUUCUGUUUUUCAUUACAAACCAUGCUUGCUUCUUCGAUCUCUUGGAUACACUCAUACACAUCUUUGCUUGUCAAUAGCCCUUAUAGUAAAGAAACCUUAUUGUUUUCCAUUUCUAAUUGAAAAUUACGGUUUUGUUUAUGAAGUGUAUUAGAAUUUGAAAAAGUUAGGAUUUUACAGUUGUUGUUUCAAAACCAAAUAAUGGAGGGAAUGAAAAAAAAAAAAAAAAACCUUUUAAAUUGAGGUGUGAAAGAGGAAGUUCCUAUACCGAGUACAAGAAGUUGUCGAAGCGUAAAUUCUUAGCAUUCGCGAAAUGUGAUUGUCCGUUUCAAUUGAGAAGUAAUUUGUUGAGUGGUGGUGUAUGAAGCCUUAGAGUUGGGGACGAAGAACACAAUCACGAGAUGACUCAAUUCUUUCAAGGUCAUAGAUAUGCGUCUAAAAUCGGGAGAAAAGAGGCUUGUUUGUGAGAUGACAAACUCAAUGGUCCUUCCGAGAAAUAUUCAGACGACCUUGAAGAAUAUAAAUGAUCGAAGUGCAACUACCAUAAAACUUUUAUAUAAUACUCAUCACAUGUAUUAAUAAUCUAUCCGGGAAAAGUGAUAAGAAGGUUGAAAAUGUUGUCAAAGGUGAAAAUGAUAGUCUUAAGAGUGUCAUAUGAUACCAUAGACAUCGCCAACUAUUAGUUCAAAUGUUUAUGAUUAGGGAACAAAAAUCAUUAUCUCACACACACAGAUACACACUUAUUGAUUUUUUUUAUACAAUUAUCUAUGUUUUUAUUGGUCAAGUCCUACAUUUUAUGAAUGUAUGCUAAAUCCGGGUAGACAUACCUCUAUUUAUAUAAUUUGAACGAAUGAGGACGAAAUUGAAAAUAUGAAUGGCGUGCGAGAAUAGGAAAAGAAAAUCUCUUAUAAUUAUGUAAAUUUGGGCCAUCUGAGAAUCGCUCAUAUAGGCCACAAUUGAAGAAAAUUGCUCCUCUUUUAAUAGAAAUUGCUCCCGCACACCUGAACUUCCCAAAAUACCCCCCAAGUCGUGACUUAAGUCACGCAUGUUUUAUACUCAGCAUGACUUAAGUCACGUUGUAAUAUAACCUACGUGACUUAAGUCACGUUCGGUUCUCCUUCAAUGCAGCUUCUUUCUUCGCUAUCCCCGACAUAAUUUCCUUCCCUUCCCACAAACAAAUAGUUUAUCGUAUCUAAUCUUUUUGUUUUUCUUUCCAGAUUCUAGAUAUUCUUUACAAUGGUACCUACAUAUACAGUUCCUAACUAGGACACUCAACUUUGCGAUUAAGGAUAUGAACCAAAGAGAGACUCAUUAUCACUUUCGAUUUCUAUUUCUAAAUGGUUAAAACAACACUCGACAGCUAACAACAUCGUUUUGCAUACCGUGAAGGCCUCCACCAUGAUAGUGUCGUUGAAAGGAGAACCGAACGUGACUUAAAUCACGUAGGUUGUAUUCCAACAUGACUUAAGUUACGCUGCGUAUAACACAUGUGUGACUUAAGUCACAUGGAAAUAUCUUGGGAAGUUCACAUAGGCGAGGGAGAAGAGCAAUUUUCACAAAUGAAAGGGACCAAUAGCUAAAUAAAAAGCCCAUAACUAUUUAACUCUAUUUCUUCGUUCCUUUUAUUAUUCAAAAAUUCGAAAACAAACCCUAAUAACCCCAAUUUCGGUUUUUAGGUUUGCAUUUUCAUUAUUGUUGGAAACUUGAGCUUUGAUCAUCACUGAUCACAAUUAAUUAUAGGUAUGCUAUUCUUCAACAAUUGAUGUCUUCAAUUUCAUCACAUCGUAAAUUGUUUUGUCGAUUUCUUUGUUUUUCUAACAAACCCUAAAUUAAUGUAAUUUACACGAUCAUGAAUUCAUUGACACCGUUUAGUUUAAUUUUUAAUUUUCAAUUUUUUUGUCUUGAAUUGCACAAAUGUUGGCCCUAAUUCGUUAAGUUAUCGAAUUUUUAUUUUCUAGUUGAAUUCAUAAUCUGUGAAGUGAUUCUGAUAACUAGUUACUGCUUCCACAUAAUUUAAGUUAUUGAGAUUUAGAUUAACGUUAAUUGUAAUGGAAAAGCUUGGUUUUUGUGAUAUCUAUUCGUGUUUUGGAUUCUUUACCUUAUGUUAAUUUCAUUAUGUCUUGAUUACUUGUUGUGAUUAUUAUAUUAAUCUGAAACAAAAUGAACAUUAAGCCCAUUGUUUAUUUGUUUCUAUUUGGUUUAUAAAGUUUGAAGCUUGUGGGGAUUAAACUCAUUUGUUUCCUAAUUAUGUUUGUCCGUAUUGUCGGAUAUCUGCCCUGGGGAUUAAGCUCAUUUGUUUUCCUAAUUACGUGUGUCCGUAUUGUCAGAUAUCUGCCCUUUCAAAUGGUCUCUAGUGACGAGGCUCUACAAGCAUCUGCUGGAGAGAAAAGGAAACUUGAGAUGGAGGAUAGUGCUAACUCGGUUGUGGAGAAUGUGGAGCAAAUGAUACAGAUUGUUGAAUCGGUGGAUCGUAUAUCGCAGUUGCCUGAUCAUGUCAUCUAUCACAUUCUUUCCUUCCUUCGAAAUACGAGGGAUGCAAUCCGGACCAAAUGUCUUUCCAAGAGAUGGAGAACGCUGUGGUUUUCCUAUGCGGCGUUGAUUUUUUAUGAACAGAAGUUUGCUGCAGGAAUUGGACCUGAAGAUGGAAGUAAUAAGGAAAAUUUGUUUAGACAACAUGUAGCUGACUCUUUGCAUACAUACCUUGCAAACAAUUUGCAGAUACAGAAAUUGUUGCUACAUAUGAUGUCCUUUGACUUAACAGAUGCUCCACUUGUGGAUAGCUGGCUAACUUCUGCUGUCUCACAAGACAUCCAAGAAAUAGAUCUCCAGAUUGGCUUCAAGGAUAUCAAUCGCUAUACUCUACCAGAAGUUGUCUUGUCAUCUGAAACUUUGACCGGACUAAGGUUAAGUGGUUGCAUACUGAGGAGGUGCGGUAACAUAAUGCUUCCUCGUCUGCAGAAACUUUAUCUGCGGAAAGUUCACCUAGGUGAGCAAAUUGUUACAAAUCUUAUCUCCUGCUGCCCUUCGAUUGAGGAUUUAAGAUUCGUACAGUGCUCAGGUUUGAAAUUCCUAUAUAUUCAUUGUGAUAGUCUCAGUAGGCUUGAGAUCCACAACUGCAAUCAACUGAAGACGGCUUAUAUCUUUGCUCCUAAUCUUGACACAUUUUGGUUUUGUGGCAAGAAAUCAACACCUUGCAAAGUUAAUUUGGAGGACUGUGCCUCUCUGAAAAAGUUGACAUUAGAGCAUCCACGAGUGAGCCGUGACUUUUGUGAAAACCAGUUCAACAAAUUUCCCUUACUUGAAAAACUCGAUCUAUGCAUUGCUGAUAAGAUGAAAUCUAUUACAAUUUUUAACCGCUGUCUUCAGAGAAUUGUUUUAAAAGGAUGCAAGAAAUUGACUUAUGUUCAAAUAUAUGCUCCUAAACUUGUUUCGUUUGAGUUGAAGGGUGAAACCAUGCCGUACUUUGACUUUGUCACCCCUUUCCUCCUCACAGAUGCUAAAAUUUCUCUUUCAACUGCAACUGAAAGUAGAGACGUUGGACUCGGUAACCAACUGUGGUUUAUGAUGAGACCUUUUAUAUCGCUGUUCUUUCCUGUUGAAGGAUUUAAAAUGAUUAUGCAUUCUAGUAAGGUAUUGUUCUUCUAAUUUCCAACAUUUUGCCAUACUUGGUCCGCAUCUUUGAUGAAUUGCCAUUAUAAUAACUACCUCAUUUAUUUUUCUUACUUGGUUGCUUACUCCAGCAUAUUAUUAUUCAUGAAGAUUUGAGCAGCAUCAAAUGCCCUCCUUUGCAUGACCUGACCUUUGAGAUUAUCAAAUCAUCAGCAUGUGUGGAGGAUAUUUUGUAUGGUUUGUUGCGGACAUUGCACCCAGAAUCUGUAUCUAUAAUUUCAUCUUCAG
rnacentral:lncRNA from 1 species